rnacentral:SRP_RNA from 1 species
GGGUAAGUCUUAUACAAUCUGCUCCCUUUCAACUCCCCCAGGGCAGGAAUGCAGCAAGGGUACAUUGGUUGUAGCGAUGUGAUGUAAGUAGCUUACCCUCU